AAAUCACCGGUUCUUAUUUGAUCACCGAAGUUAAGCAUUGUCGUGCCCGGUCAGUAUUUACAUAGAGGACCGCUUGAGAAGACUCGGUACUGUAAG